rnacentral:rRNA from 1 species
GACGAACGCUGGCGGCGUGCCUAAUACAUGCAAGUAGAACGCUGAAGAGAGGAGCUUACUCUUCUUGGAUGAGUUGCGAACGGGUGAGUAACGCGUAGGUAACCUGCCUUGUAGCGGGGGAUAACUAUUGGAAACGAUAGCUAAUACCGCAUAACAAUGGAUGACACAUGUCAUUUAUUUGAAAGGGGCAAUUGCUCCACUACAAGAUGGACCUGCGUUGUAUUAGCUAGUAGGUGAGGUAAUGGCUCACCUAGGCGACGAUACAUAGCCGACCUGAGAGGGUGAUCGGCCACACUGGGACUGAGACACGGCCCAGACUCCUACGGGAGGCAGCAGUAGGGAAUCUUCGGCAAUGGGGGCAACCCUGACCGAGCAACGCUGCGUGAGUGAAGAAGGUUUUCGGAUCGUAAAGCUCUGUUGUAAGUCAAGAACGGGUGUGAGAGUGGAAAGUUCACACUGUGACGGUAGCUUACCAGAAAGGGACGGCUAACUACGUG